GUUUGUGUUGCUCAGUGGUAGAGUGCAUGCUUUGUAUGUAUGAUGUCCUGGGUUCAAUCCCCAGCUUCUACC